rnacentral:rRNA from 1 species
GAUGAACGCUGGCGGCGUGCCUAAUACAUGCAAGUCGAGCGAACAGACGAGGAGCUUGCUCCUCUGACGUUAGCGGCGGACGGGUGAGUAACACGUGGAUAACCUACCUAUAAGACUGGGAUAACUUCGGGAAACCGGAGCUAAUACCGGAUAAUAUAUUGAACCGCAUGGUUCAAUAGUGAAAGACGGUUUUGCUGUCACUUAUAGAUGGAUCCGCGCCGCAUUAGCUAGUUGGUAAGGUAACGGCUUACCAAGGCGACGAUGCGUAGCCGACCUGAGAGGGUGAUCGGCCACACUGUAACUGAGACACGGUCCAGUCUCCUACGGGAGGCAGCAGUAGGGAAUCUUCCGCAAUGGGCGAAAGCCUGACGGAGCAGCGCCGCGUGAGUGAUGAAGGUCUUCGGAUCGUAAAACUCUGUUAUUAGGGAAGAACAAAUGUGUAAGUAACUAUGCACGUCUUGACGGUACCUAAUCAGAAAGCCACGGCUAACUACGUG